rnacentral:rRNA from 1 species
GAUGAACGCUGGCGGCGUGCCUAAUACAUGCAAGUCGAGCGAACGGACGAGAAGCUUGCUUCUCUGAUGUUAGCGGCGGACGGGUGAGUAACACGUGGAUAACCUACCUAUAAGACUGGGAUAACUUCGGGAAACCGGAGCUAAUACCGGAUAAUAUUUUGAACCGCAUGGUUCAAAAGUGAAAGACGGUCUUGCUGUCACUUAUAGAUGGAUCCGCGCUGCAUUAGCUAGUUGGUAAGGUAACGGCUUACCAAGGCAACGAUGCAUAGCCGACCUGAGAGGGUGAUCGGCCACACUGGAACUGAGACACGGUCCAGACUCCUACGGGAGGCAGCAGUAGGGAAUCUUCCGCAAUGGGCGAAAGCCUGACGGAGCAACGCCGCGUGAGUGAUGAAGGUCUUCGGAUCGUAAAACUCUGUUAUUAGGGAAGAACAUAUGUGUAAGUAACUGGGCACAUCUUGACGGUACCUAAUCAGAAAGCCACGGCUAACUACG